AUUGAACGCUGGCGGCAUGCCUUACACAUGCAAGUCGAACGGCAGCACGGGAGCAAUCCUGGUGGCGAGUGGCGAACGGGUGAGUAAUAUAUCGGAACGUGCCCAGUCGUGGGGGAUAACGCAGCGAAAGCUGUGCUAAUACCGCAUACGAGCUAAGGAUGAAAGCGGGGGAUCGCAAGACCUCGCGCGAUUGGAGCGGCCGAUAUCAGAUUAGCUAGUUGGUGGGGUAAAGGGCCACCAAGGCAACGAUCGGUAGCUGGUCUGAGAGGACGACCAGCCACACUGGAACAGAGACACGGUACAGACUCCGACGGGAGGCAGCAGUGGGGAAUUUUGGACAAUGGGCGCAAGCCUGAUCCAGCAAUGCCGCGUGCAGGAUGAAGGCCUUCGGGUUGUAAACUGCUUUUGUACGGAACGAAACGGCCCUUUCUAAUACAGGGGGCUAAUGACGGUACCGUAAGAAUAAGCACCGGCUAACUACGUGCCAGCAGCCGCCGUAA
rnacentral:rRNA from 1 species